rnacentral:lncRNA from 1 species
UAGUGUGGGAUUGGGUUAGAGGUGGAAAUAGAUGGUGGUGAAAAGGAGGAAGAGGGUUAGUUGGGCAUUUCAUGGGUGGAUGGCAAAGAUGAGAAAUUAGGACUCUUGAGGGACACAUGAGAUAUACUUGCAGGUGAAUAAAGAGAUUUAGUUGGAGAGGAAGAUUUGUCACGCAAGUGUGAUGGAAGAGAUGCACUUGGGGCCUUGAGCAUGACAUCGAAGGAGGUCAAGUUUCUUCAUACAAAG